UACGUAGGGAGCAAGCGUUGUCCGGAAUCAUUGGCGUAAAGCGCGCGUAGGCGGCCCUGUAAGUCCGUUGUGAAAGUCAAAGGCUCAACCUUUGAAAGCCGAUGGAUACUGCAGGGCUAGAGUCCGGAAGAGGCGAGUGGAAUUCCUGGUGUAGCGGUGGAAUGCGCAGAUAUCAGGAGGAACACCAAUAGCGAAGGCAGCUCGCUGGGACGGUACUGACGCUAAGGCGCGAAAGCGUGGGGAGCGAACAGG
rnacentral:rRNA from 1 species